CAGGGAGGAGCUGAGAUGUUACUGAACUAUAGAAGAGAGAGGAACUUCUAGAUUCAACAGAGAUCAAUACACACACCAUCAACAUUACCUUUAUUCAACAUGCUGCCACUGCAGCAUUGGGGGUUUUCUCUGAUGUUUAUUUCAAUUAUAGCAGGAGUCAGCUGUGAAGAACUCACUCCAGUAGAGAAAGAAGAGAACAGUUUAGAAGACAGCUCUGUUACUCUGUCCUACAGAUACUCUGAAAUGUCAUCUAGUGAUUAUUUCUUCUGGUAUCGACAAUAUCCAGAAAAACCACCAGAGUUCCUCAUCUCACACUCUGCUUCAGGACAAUUAAUAAACGAAAUAAUCCCUGGACUAAAGAUUGAAGUUGAGGACAAAACAAUCCAUAUGAUCAUCUCCUCUGCUGCAGUGCCAGACUCUGCUGUGUACUACUGUGCUGUGAGGCCCACAGUGACAGCAAACCCACAGUCUCUGUACAAAAACACAAGCUGA